UACAGAGGGGGCAAGCGUUGUUCGGAAUUACUGGGCGUAAAGGGCGCGUAGGCGGCCUGUUAAGUCGAACGUGAAAUCCCCGGGCUCAACCCGGGAACUGCGUCCGAGACUGAUAGGCUCGAAUCCGGGAGAGGGAUGUGGAAUUCCAGGUGUAGCGGUGAAAUGCGUAGAUAUCUGGAGGAACACCGGUGGCGAAGGCGACAUCCUGGACCGGUAUUGACGCUGAGGCGCGAAAGCCAGGGGAGCAAACGGG
rnacentral:rRNA from 1 species